rnacentral:rRNA from 1 species
AGAGUUUGAUCAUGGCUCAGAUUGAACGCUGGCGGAUGCCUUACACAUGCAAGUCGAACGGCAGCGNNNNGGCAACCCUGGCGGCGAGUGGCGAACGGGUGAGUAAUACAUCGGAACGUGUCCAGUCGUGGGGGAUAACCAGUCGAAAGAUUGGCUAAUACCGCAUGCGCCCGAAAGGGGAAAGCGGGGGAUCGCAAGACCUCGCGCGAUUGGAGCGGCCGAUGUCCGAUUAGCUAGUUGGUGAGGUAACGGCUCACCAAGGCGACGAUCGGUAGCUGGUCUGAGAGGACGACCAGCCACACUGGGACUGAGACACGGCCCAGACUCCUACGGGAGGCAGCAGUGGGGAAUUUUGGACAAUGGGGGCAACCCUGAUCCAGCCAUGCCGCGUGUGUGAUGAAGGCCUUCGGGUUGUAAAGCACUUUCGGACGGAACGAAAUCGCGCGGGCGAACAUCCCGCGUGGAUGACGGUACCGUAAGAAGAAGCACCGGCUAACUACGUGCCAGCAGCCGCGGUAAUACGUAGGGUGCGAGCGUUAAUCGNNNNNNCUGGGCGUAAAGGGUGCGCAGGCGGCUUCGCAAGUCAGGCGUGAAAUCCCCGAGCUUAACUUGGGAAUUGCGUUUGAAACUACGAGGCUUGAGUGUGGCAGAGGGAGGUGGAAUUCCACGUGUAGCGGUGAAAUGCGUAGAUAUGUGGAGGAACACCGAUGGCGAAGGCAGCCUCCUGGGCCAACACUGACGCUCAUGCACGAAAGCGUGGGGAGCAAACAGGAUUAGAUACCCUAGUAGUCC